rnacentral:misc_RNA from 1 species
GGCACCGUGCCGAUUUCCCCGCAGGGUCGCUGCCAUCUCCUCACCACCUCUUCUGACAGCGUUCCAGACGCUGUCUCAUGCUUCGUUGUAGUCUCGUGCGCACGCACGCACACCGGUAGAAAGAUACCGUUCCGACAAGGGGGAUGCGUUACUCCAGACCAAGCCGCCCGCUGGUCCUGGCAAGGGCGUCGUCAGUGCUCUCGUCGAGCCGCACCUUUCACUCGCAGCAUCGUACUCCCAUCAUCCCCCAAGUACACGUCCAUGACAGGCCCACGGCGCAGAGAAUCCACGUUGGCUAUUACCUUCACCGUCAUCCGGUUGUGAAGCACUCUCCGCACCCCCUCGAAGCAGAGAUGGGCUACCUUCUGGAGCGCGAACAGCAGCGGUACAGCCGGCACGACUCUGCCGAGUCGGCAACAGCGUUCUUCGCGAGUCGCGGGCAGACCAUAGAUAUUCUCGGCCGCACUGACCCCAAUCAGAUCAAAGGCAACUUCUUCGGGCUGGAGCUCUACCAGGAUGCCAUGAAGGUGGUGAUGCAGCGCUACUCCCCAGAGAAGCGCUUGACAUCCGCUGACCUGUGGCAACCGAACGCCUUGGGCGACGCGCCACCGCCGCGCCACACGCUGCACCGCAAGCUAGACGACUUUCUGUACCUUAUCGUCCAGGAGGGGGCAACAGGCAAGUGGACCAUUCCACACACGGCGCGCAAGGACGAUGAGUCGCUCCGCAUGACGGCCGAUCGCGCCAUCUCCUCCCAGAACAGCGAUGGACUGGACUGCUACGUAUGGUCGAACGCGCCGCAGGCGACAGUGUUCCUGAAGGACGACAACACGCGUCUAUUCAUCUACGCGGCAACGUACCUCGCCGGCCGCCCGCAGUUUGCCUCGUUCGAGCCCAAGCCGAAGGAUCACGCGUGGGUGACCCGGCACGAGCUGCUGCAGUACAGCGACACCUUCAAGAGUUCAGAGAUGCUCAAGGCUCUCCUCGACAUCAGCGCCGACGGCACCUUCGAGGCUUGAUGAGAGCACCGCUGUCGCCGCCUCUCUCUUUCUCCCUUCGAUCUUGCGUAGUGUGGCCUUGAGCGCGUGCCCCCUUGUUUUUUCGUGGUUCCUUCUUCCCUCGUCGUCAUAUCUCCGAUUUUCUCCUUUCCUCAGCAUUACCGAGCUGGCUGUCCGAGGAUGACGACGACGACGUCGUGUCUAGGCUUGUGCGCCUAUGAGUGUGCGCCUACCUUCUUCACUAAUCAUACGCGCUUG